CACAAAAAAAACAAACACAUCAAUCAACAUAAAAGGCAGCAUGACCUUUACAAAUUUUUCGCCGGUAAAACUUUUUUUUAAAUAUAAUUUUCAUCUUUUCUUUAUUUUUUUUUCCU
rnacentral:tRNA from 14 species